CCGUUAUAACCGGCGAUUUCCGAAUGGGGAAACCCAGUGUGACUCGUCACACUAUCAUUAACUGAAUCCAUAGGUUAAUGAGGCGAACCGGGGGAACUGAAACAUCUAAGUACCCCGAGGAAAAGAAAUCAACCGAGAUUCCCCCAGUAGCGGCGAGCGAACGGGGAGGAGCCCAGAGCCUGAAUCAGCAUGUGUGUUAGUGGAAGCGUCUGGAAAGGCGCGCGAUACAGGGUGACAGCCCCGUACACAAAAGCGCAUGUGCUGUGAGCUCGAUGAGUAGGGCGGGACACGUGGUAUCCUGUCUGAAUAUGGGGGGACCAUCCUCCAAGGCUAAAUACUCCUGACUGACCGAUAGUGAACCAGUACCGUGAGGGAAAGGCGAAAAGAACCCCGGCGAGGGGAGUGAAAAAGAACCUGAAACCGU
rnacentral:rRNA from 1 species